rnacentral:rRNA from 1 species
UACGUAGGGCGCAAGCGUUGUCCGGAAUUAUUGGGCGUAAAGAGCUCGUAGGCGGCCAGUUGCGUCCGCUGUGAAAUCCCGGGGCUUAACCCCGGGCGUGCAGUGGAUACGGGCUGGCUAGAGGCAGGCAGGGGAGAACGGAAUUCCCGGUGUAGCGGUGAAAUGCGUAGAGAUCGGGAGGAACACCUGCGGCGAAAGCGGCUCACUGGACCAUAACUGACGCUGAUGCACGAAAGCUAGGGGAGCAAACAGG